GCAUCGAUGAAGAACGCAGCGAAAUGCGAUAAGUAAUGUGAAUUGCAGAAUUCAGUGAAUCAUCGAAUCUUUGAACGCGCAUUGCGCCCGGCAGUACUCUGCCGGGCAUGCCUGUUCGAGCGUCAUUUCAACCCUCAAGCCCUGCUUGGUGUUGGGGCCCUACGGCUGCCGUAGGCCCUGAAAGGAAGUGGCGGGCUCGCUGCAACUCCGAGCGUAGUAACUCAUUAUCUCGCUAGGGACGUUGCGGCGCGCUUCUGCCGUUAAAGAACCCAUCUUUAACCAAGGUUGACCUCGGAUCAGGUAGGAAUACCCGCUGAACUUAAGCAUAUCAAUAAGCGGAGGAA
rnacentral:rRNA from 1 species